AGCSGCAGCUUACACAUGCAGUCGAGCGGAGUGAUGGUGCUUGCACUAUCACUUAGCGGCGGACGGGUGAGUAAUGCUUAGGAAUCUGCCUAUUAGUGGGGGACAACAUUUCGAAAGGAAUGCUAAUACCGCAUACGUCCUACGGGAGAAAGCAGGGGAUCUUCGGACCUUGCGCUAAUAGAUGAGCCUAAGUCGGAUUAGCUAGUUGGUGGGGUAAAGGCCUACCAAGGCGACGAUCUGUAGCGGGUCUGAGAGGAUGAUCCGCCACACUGGGACUGAGACACGGCCCAGACUCCUACGGGAGGCAGCAGUGGGGAAUAUUUGGAUCAAUGGGUCGCAAGCCUGRUAUCACCAUGCCGCGUGUGUGAAGAAGGCCUUAUGGUUGUAAAGCACUUUAAGCGAGGAGGAGGCUACUGAAGUUAAUACCUUCAGAUAGUGGACGUUACUCGCAGAAUAAGCACCGGCUAACUCUGUGCCAGCAGCCGCGGUAAUACAGAGGGUGCAAGCGUUAAUCGGAUUUACUGGGCGUAAAGCGCGCGUAGGCGGCUAAUUAAGUCAAAUGUGAAAUCCCCGAGCUUAACUUGGGAAUUGCAUUCGAUACUGGUUAGCUAGAGUGUGGGAGAGGAUGGUAGAAUUCCAGGUGUAGCGGUGAAAUGCGUAGAGAUCUGGAGGAAUACCGAUGGCGAAGGCAGCCAUCUGGCCUAACACUGACGCUGAGGUGCGAAAGCAUGGGGAGCAAACAGGAUUAGAUACCCUGGUAGUCCAUGCCGUAAACGAUGUCUACUAGCCGUUGGGGCCUUUGAGGCUUUAGUGGCGCAGCUAACGCGAUAAGUAGACCGCCUGGGGAGUACGGUCGCAAGACUAAAACUCAAAUGAAUUGACGGGGGCCCGCACAAGCGGUGGAGCAUGUGGUUUAAUUCGAUGCAACGCGAAGAACCUUACCUGGYCUUGACAUAGUAAGAACUUUCCAGAGAUGGAUUGGUGCCUUCGGGAACUUACAUACAGGUGCUGCAUGGCUGUCGUCAGCUCGUGUCGUGAGAUGUUGGGUUAAGUCCCGCAACGAGCGCAACCCUUUCCUUAUUUGCCAGCGAGUAAUGUCAGUACCUUUAAGGAUACUGCCAGUGACAACUGGAGGAAGGGCGGGGGACGA
rnacentral:rRNA from 1 species